GCACUGGUGGUUCAGUGGUAGAAUUCCAGCCUUCCAUGCUGGAUACCUGGGUUCAGUUCUUGGCCAAGCA
rnacentral:tRNA from 1 species